GUUUUUUUUUUUUUUAUAGUUCCCAAGGUGUCAUAUGUCAUCUAUAUAUUUGUUUAGGAUUUCCUCGAAUUUAAUCAACCUAUAGAUGCAUUGUCAUCGUAGGUAUGAAUUGUCAAGCUUGGGACAUGGAUAUGCGUGAUGUGAGAAUGACAGAUAUCUUGUUCGUGUCAAGCACGUGGGCCCAUCAAUUUAGGCUCAUGAAUGUCCUA
rnacentral:lncRNA from 1 species